CAAUAGCGUAUAUUUAAGUUGUUGCAGUUAAAAAGCUCGUAGUUGGAUUUCGGUUGAGAACGGCCGGUCCGCCGUUUGGUGUGCACUGGCUGGUUUCAACUUCCUGUAGAGGACGCGCUCUGGCUUCACGGCUGGACGCGGAGUCUACGUGGUUACUUUGAAAAAAUUAGAGUGUUCAAAGCGGGCUUACGCUUGAAUAUUUCAGCAUGGAAUAACACUAUAGGACUCCUGUCCUAUUUCGUCGGUCUCGGGACGGGAGUAAUGAUUAAGAGGAACAGUUGGGGGCAUUCGUAUUUCAUUGUCAGAGGUGAAAUUCUUGGAUUUAUGAAAGACGAACUUCUGCGAAAGCAUUUGCCAAGGAUGUUUUCAUUAA
rnacentral:rRNA from 1 species